GGUCAAGAUCAAGGCUCCUCCGGAAAAUGCCUUUUUAACCACAUAGGGUCCCUCGUAUGUUGGUGACCAUUUGCCCCGUGGAUCGUUUUGGUUCGACAGCACUUUCUUCAGAACUAAGUCCCCGGGUUGGAAUUCGCGUGGNUUUAUCAAAUGCCCUAGCCAUUCUCCUCUGAUAUAAUUGCCCAUGACAUGCCGCUGCUAACCUUUUCUCAUCAAGCAAGUUUAACUGAUCCAACCUUGACUGAAUCCAUGNUCUGACUCAUCAAUUCCUGACUCCUUCAGAAUUCUUAGGGAAGGGAUUUCAACUUCAAUGGGCAAUACUGCCUCCAUACCAUAGACCAGCGAGUAUGGAGUUGCCCCGGUUGAA
rnacentral:misc_RNA from 1 species